UACGGAGGGUGCGAGCGUUGUCCGGAAUCACUGGGCGUAAAGGGCGCGUAGGUGGCGCGGGCAGUCAACGGUGAAAGUUCGGGGCUCAACCCCGAAUCGGCCGUCGAUACUCCCGGGCUUGAGCACUGUAGAGGCUAAUGGAAUUCCGGGUGUAGCGGUGGAAUGCGUAGAGAUCCGGAAGAACACCGGUGGCGAAGGCGGUUAGCUGG
rnacentral:rRNA from 1 species